rnacentral:ncRNA from 1 species
GAUAGAGGCGCAGCGCGCGAAGAGUAAUCCGGCGAACGGGUCGCGAGAACCCGCCGGGGGAAAGGCGCCGCUGCCGAAGUUCCGGCCCUCUCCGCGGGGGCGCCGGCGCUGGGCAAACGGUAAAGAGCCGUUUGACUGUCGCGGCCGCGAGGCCGCGGAGAGCUAUCCG